GCAACGCCAUGAUAAAUAAGGCCAAUAUAACUGGCUACGAACCAGUAGGUCGGGGGUUCGAAUCCUCCCCGGUGCGCCA
rnacentral:tRNA from 1 species